GGUCCUGUAGUCUAGCGGUUAGGACACUGGAUUCUGAUAUCUCACCAUAUCUUACUUCCAGUAGCCCCGGUUCGAUUCCGGGCAGGACCU
rnacentral:tRNA from 1 species